rnacentral:rRNA from 1 species
GACGGGGGGGGAAAGCGUUGUUCGGAAUUACUGGGCGUAAAGGGCGCGCAGGCGGGCGAGAAAGUAUCUCGUGAAAGCCCACGGCUCAACCGUGGAAUUGCGGUGGAAACCACUCGUCUUGAGUCCGGGAGAGGAGGGUGGAAUUCCCAGUGUGGCGGUGAAAUGCGUAGAUAUUGGGAGGAACACCGGUGGCGAAGGCGGCCCUCUGGACCGGUACUGACGCUGAGGCGCGAAAGCUAGGGGAGCAAACGGG